GCGCCCUUUUCAAAACCGAGCUGAUGGGAGAGUUGUCUGGUUCGCAGGCUCCCCGAGGAAUCAAUGAAUCUUGAACAACAUCAUUCAUUCACCAGUAUUUAUGGAGCAUCUGUGAUGUGCCAGGAUCCCAUAUAGG